AUCCAACUGACGAGUUCCAAAUAGGAUGAAACACGCGUCCUUCAU
rnacentral:hammerhead_ribozyme from 1 species